AAGCGCACAUGGGUCAAGGCACUGCUCAUUGCAGUUUUAUCCGGUAAAGCGAAUGAUUAGAGAUCUUGGGGCCAAAACGAUCUCAACCUAUUCUCAAACUUUAAAUGGGUAAGAAGCCCGGCUCGCUGGCGUGGAGCCGGACGUGGAAUGCGAGUGCCUAGUGGGCCACUUUUGGUAACUGAAAGCAGAACUGGCGCUGCGGGAUGAACUGAACGACGGGUUAAGGCGCCCGAUGCCGGGAUAGCCUGAGGGUACUUCUUCCCGAGCUAGUACUCUCUGGCUUGGAGAGAACUCAACUGGAGCCGA
rnacentral:ncRNA from 1 species